CCUACGGGAGGCUGCAGUGAGGAAUAUUGGUCAAUGGGCGCGAGCCUGAACCAGCCAAGUCGCGUGAGGGAUGACGGUCCUACGGAUUGUAAACCUCUUUUGCCGGGGAGCAAGCGUGCGUUCGUGAACGCGCGUCGAGAGUACCCGGAGAAAAAGCAUCGGCUAACUCGGUGCCAGCAGCCGCGUUAAUACGGAGGUUGCGAGCGUUAUCCGGUUUUAUUGGUUUAAAGGGGUAGUUAGGCGGGAUGCCAAGUCAUCGGUAAAAAUGCGGGUCUAAACGUAGUCUAGCAGUUGAAACUGGCGUUCUUGAGUGGGCGAGAAGUAUGUGGAAUGCGUGGUGUAGCGGGGAAAUGCAUAGAUAUCACGCAGAACUCCGAUUGCGAAGGCAGCAUACCGGCGCCCUACUGACGCUGAGGCACGAAAGCGUGGGUAUCGAACAGGAUGAGAUACCCGAGUAGUC
rnacentral:rRNA from 1 species